AGUGAACGCUGGCGGUAGGCCUAACACAUGCAAGUCGAACGGCAGCACAGUAAGAGCUUGCUCUUACGGGUGGCGAGUGGCGGACGUGUGAGGAAUACAUCGGAAUCUACUUUUUCGUGGGGGAUAACGUAGGGAAACUUACGCUAAUACCGCAUACGACCUACGGGUGAAAGCAGGGGAUCUUCGGACCUUGCGCGAUUGAAUGAGCCGAUGUCGGAUUAGCUAGUUGGCGGGGUAAAGGCCCACCAAGGCGACGAUCCGUAGCUGGUCUGAGAGGAUGAUCAGCCACACUGGAACUGAGACACGGUCCAGACUCCUACGGGAGGCAGCAGUGGGGAAUAUUGGACAAUGGGCGCAAGCCUGAUCCAGCCAUACCGCGUGAGUGAAGAAGGCCUUCGGGUUGUAAAGCCCUUUUGUUGGGAAAGAAAAGCAGCAGGUUAAUACCCCGCUGUUCUGACGGUACCCAAAGAAUAAGCACCGGCUAACUUCGUG
rnacentral:rRNA from 1 species